AUGUUGAUGCAAGACUACUUCACGGAGAAUCCUACAUAUCCACCGCACCUCUUCCGGAGAAGGUACCGAAUGCGCCGAUCCCUCUUUGUGAAAAUUGUUCAAGCUCGCGAGGCAAAUUGCCGGUAUUUUACUCAAAGAAGAAAUGGUGCGGGUUUAAAGGGAUUUAGUGCAUAUCAAAAAAUCUCCGCAGCUAUGCGGGUGAUUGCAUAUGGUGUUCCGGCUGACUAUGCCGAUGAGUACCUUCGCAUUGGUGAAGAUACUACAAUUGAGUCAGUGCGUACAUUUGCAAAAGUGAUCAUCUGUGUCUUUGGUCCUAAGUAUCUUCGGGCACCCAACGAGGAUGACACAAAGAAAUUGAUGACAUCUAAUGAGAGGAGAGGUUGUCCUGGUGAUACGUCUCCAACGUAUCUAUAA
rnacentral:rRNA from 1 species